rnacentral:rRNA from 1 species
AGCGAACGCUGGCGGCAGGCUUAACACAUGCAAGUCGAGCGGGCGUAGCAAUACGUCAGCGGCAGACGGGUGAGUAACGCGUGGGAACGUACCUUUUGGUUCGGAACAACACAGGGAAACUUGUGCUAAUACCGGAUAAGCCCUUACGGGGAAAGAUUUAUCGCCGAAAGAUCGGCCCGCGUCUGAUUAGCUAGUUGGUGAGGUAACGGCUCACCAAGGCGACGAUCAGUAGCUGGUCUGAGAGGAUGAUCAGCCACAUUGGGGCUGAGACACGGCCCAAACUCCUACGGGAGGCAGCAGUGGGGAAUAUUGGACAAUGGGGGCAACCCUGAUCCAGCCAUGCCGCGUGAGUGAUGAAGGCCCUAGGGUUGUAAAGCUCUUUUGUGCGGGAAGAUAAUGACGGUACCGCAAGAAUAAGCCCCGGCUAACUUCGUG